GUCUUGCAGUAGCAUCCCUGGCUAGUUAAAUUUUCCUCAAGAAAAGCUCUCUAGUACAUUAUUUACACCAAGUUUGAGAAAAUCUACAUUGAGAUUAAAGCUGUUAAGAGGAGCAUAAAUAUUGAUGGUGGAGGAUGACGUCACUCGAGAAAGAGAUGCUAUUUUUGCUCCAGCUUCAAUGAACAUCUGAGCAGAUCGGACAAUGAGAGCUGACCUCCUCAUCAGUAAUUAGCAGCGGCGAAUUCCCCUGAGCUUCAAGGUCAAUUCCUCCACUGAUUUCUACACGGUUUAUAACACGCAUUGACGACCCUUUCCAUUGGUCUGAUAAAGACGGGAAAAAUGUUUAGGCUUUGUGGUGCUCUCUUUGUCACCGCUAAAUCGAAUGUGCCCAUGUAUGUAUAUAUUUUAUGGAAAAUAAGUUACUUUUCAUCUAUUUUUCUUGUAUUUGGUUAGGGUGCAAAAUAUAUUUUGUGAUUUAUUUUUUCAAUAUCUGGUUGGCGAAGAGGAAAGUAACAUCCUAAUAAUCCAACAGAACAUCAAGUCAAAGUUUGUCCAAAUCCAAGCCAAUUCCUCAUCCCAUUUGGUUAUUUUACAUUUUGGAUUAAACUAUGGCCUCCAUCAAUCCCAAUAUAUGAGUGUCUUUAUAUUGACAUGAAUAUGAAGGUGACAGUUAAAAUACAAGUGUA